GGAGGAGAGCCGUGCGCAGCGGCGUGUGUGGGGCCGUGUGCAGACCCGCGUGUGGCGCAGGCAAGGACUCUGAAAAUAAACAGCCGCUGCUUUGCGAGUCGUCUUCCAGGGCCUGCGUCCGAGUCUCCACCGCUGUGGGCAGCUCAGACGCCGAAGCUCAAACUGCAGCUAUGAGCAGCAACGAAUGCUUCAAGUGUGGACGAUCUGGCCACUGGGCCAGGGAGUGCCCUACUGGUGGAGGUCGGGGUCGUGGAAUGAGAGGCCGUGGCAGAGGUGGUUUUACCUCGGAUAGAGGGUUCCAGUUUGUUUCCUCAUCUCUUCCUGAUAUCUGUUACCGCUGUGGUGAGUCUGGUCAUCUUGCCAAGGAUUGUGAUCUCCAGGAGGAUGCCUGCUAUAACUGCGGUAGAGGUGGCCACAUUGCCAAGGACUGCAAGGAGCCCAAGAGAGAGCGAGAGCAAUGCUGCUACAACUGUGGCAAGCCAGGCCAUCUGGCCCGUGACUGUGACCAUGCGGAUGAGCAGAAGUGCUACUCUUGUGGUGAAUUUGGACAUAUUCAAAAAGACUGCACCAAGGUGAAGUGCUAUAGGUGUGGUGAAACUGGUCAUGUAGCCAUCAAUUGCAGCAAGACAAGUGAAGUCAACUGUUACCGCUGUGGCGAGUCAGGGCAUCUUGCACGGGAAUGCACAAUUGAGGCUACAGCCUAAUUAUUUUCCUUUGUCGCCCCUCCUUUUUCUGAUUGAUGGUUGUAUUAUUUUCUCUGAAUCCUCUUCACUGGCCAAAGGUUGGCAGAUAGAGGCUGUUCCCAGGCCAGUGAGCUUUAACUUGCAGUGUAAAAGGAGGAAAGGGGUGGAAAAAACCGAAUUUCUGCAUUUAACUACAAAAAAAAAGUUUAUGUUUAGUUUGGUAGAGGUGUUAUGUAUAAUGCUUUGUUAAAGAACCCCCUUUCCGUGCCACUGGUGAAUAGGGAUUAAUGAAUGGGAAGAGUUCAGUCAGACCAGUAAGCCCUUCUGGGUUUGAGUGUGUUCCCAUGUAGGAGGUAAAACAAUUCUGGAAGCAUCUGAACCUCCAUAAAUAACAUUAAUUUUUAGUAUAAUGAUGGCCUUGGAAUGUCUGACCUCAGUAGCUAUUAAAUAACAUCAGUAACAUCUGUAUCAGGCCCUCAUAGAACAUAACAGUUGAGUGGGAGUAAACUGAAGACACAACGUGUUGAUGGCUAUGCCAGGGAAAUCGGGAUAAAAGCCCAACACAGGAGCAGCUUCAUCCCAUACAGAUGGUGAUGGCAAAGGUGUAGAACACAUUUUUUUCAAAGACUAAAUCUAAAACCCAGAGUAAACAUCGCUCAGAGUUAGCAUAAUUUGGAGCUAUUCAGGAAUUGCAGAGAAAUGCAUUUUCACAGAAAUCAAGAUGUUAUUUUUGUAUACUAUAUCACUUAGAAAACUGUGUUUCAUUUGCUGUAAUCAGUUUUUAAAA